AUUGAACGCUGGCGGCAGGCCUAACACAUGCAAGUCGAACGAGUGGCGGACGGGUGAGUAAUGUCUGGGAAACUGCCUGAUGGAGGGGGAUAACUACUGGAAACGGUAGCUAAUACCGCCUAACCUCAGAUGUGCCCAGAUGGGAUUAGCUUGUUGGUGGGGUAACGGCGCAUCAAGGCGACGAUCCCUAGCUGGUCUGAGAGGAUGACCAGACACACUGGAACUGAGACACGGUCCAGACGCCUACGUGAGGCAGCGGUGGGGAAUAUUGCACGAGGGGCGCAAGCCGGAGACAGCCAUGCCGCGGGUAUGAAGAGGGCCUUGGGGUUGUAAAGUACUUUCAGCGUGGAGGCGUUACCCGCAGAAGAAGCACCGGCUAACUCCGUGCCAGCAGCCGCGGUAAUUC
rnacentral:rRNA from 1 species